rnacentral:rRNA from 1 species
UGGGGGGACCUGAUCCAGCCAUCCCGCGUGUAUGAUGAAGGCCUUCGGGUUGUAAAGUACUUUUGGCAGAGAAGAAAAGGUACCUCCUAAUACGAGGUACUGCUGACGGUAUCUGCAGAAUAAGCACCGGCUAACUACGUGCCAGCAGCCGCGGUAAUACGUAGGGUGCAAGCGUUAAUCGGAAUUACUGGGCGUAAAGCGUGUGUAGGCGGUUCGGAAAGAAAGAUGUGAAAUCCCAGGGCUCAACCUUGGAACUGCAUUUUUAACUGCCGAGCUAGAGUAUGUCAGAGGGGGGUAGAAUUCCACGUGUAGCAGUGAAAUGCGUAGAUAUGUGGAGGAAUACCGAUGGCGAAGGCAGCCCCCUGGGAUAAUACUGACGCUCAGACACGAAAGCGUGGGGAGCAAACAGGAUUAGAUACCCUGGUAGUCCACGCCCUAAACGAUGUCAACUAGCUGUUGGGGCCGUUAGGCCUUAGUAGCGCAGCUAACGCGUGAAGUUGACCGCCUGGGGAGUACGGUCGCAAGAUUAAAACUCAAAGGAAUUGACGGA